rnacentral:rRNA from 1 species
AGAAUCAACGCUGGCGGCGUGCCUAACACAUGCAAGUCGAACGAGAAAGGGGAGCAAUCCCUGAGUACAGUGGCGACCGGGUGAGUAACACGUGACUACCUACCCUUGAGUGGGGGAUAACCUCGGGAAACCGAGGCUAAUACCGCAUAAUAUCGCAAGAUCAAAGGAGAAAUCCGCUUUUGGAGGGGUCGCGGCUGAUUAGCUAGUUGGUAGGGUAAUGGCCUACCAAGGCGAAGAUCGGUAUCCGGCCUGAGAGGGCGCACGGACACACUGGAACUGAAACACGGUCCAGACUCCUACGGGAGGCAGCAGUGGGGAAUUUGCGCAAUGGGGGAAACCCUGACGCAGCAACGCCGCGUGGAGGAUGAAGCUCCUUGGAGUGUAAACUCCUUUCGACCGGGAAAAUAAUGAUGGUACCGGUGGAAGAAGCACCGGCUAACUCUGCGCCAGCAGCCGC